UUCUUGAAAACCAAUCUCAUAAAUCUACCAGUACGGGCCCUUGUAUUCCAUCUUCAAUAUAUCAACUCCGUGAUUGUAGAUGUUGGACUUCUUGUUUACUCCUUAAAUUACAAGGAGAAUGAUAAGGAAGAUGAAACUUUGGGGGAAGCGAAGAAUGAUAAGGAAGAUGAAACUUUGGGGGAAGCGAACCAAGUACUAGUUCUUGAUUUCCCAGGCAGAAUUCAAAGUAUGCAAGCAAUGAUCUACCUCAUCAGUAGAAAGCUAUUUCUCUUUCAGUAUGGGAUUGAUGAACAGGGAACU
rnacentral:lncRNA from 1 species